rnacentral:rRNA from 1 species
GAUGAACGCUGGCGGCGUGCCUAAUACAUGCAAGUCGAGCGAACGGACGAGAAGCUUGCUUCUCUGAUGUUAGCGGCGGACGGGUGAGUAACACGUGGAUAACCUACCUAUAAGACUGGGAUAACUUCGGGAAACCGUAGCUAAUACCGGAUAAUAUUUUGAACCGCAUGGCUCAAAAGUGAAAGACGGUCUUGCUGUCACUUAUAGAUGGAUCCGCGCUGCAUUAGCCAGUUGGUAAGGUAACGGCUUACCAAGGCAACGAUGCAUAGCCGACCUGAGAGGGUGAUCGGCCACACUGGAACUGAGACACGGUCCAGACUCCUACGGGAGGCAGCAGUAGGGAAUCUUCCGCAAUGGGCGAAAGCCUGACGGAGCAACGCCGCGUGAGUGAUGAAGGUCUUCGGAUCGUAAAACUCUGUUAUUAGGGAAGAACAUAUGUGUAAGUAACUGUGCACAUCUUGACGGUACCUAAUCAGAAAGCCACGGCUAACUACGUG